rnacentral:rRNA from 1 species
CCUACGGGUGGCAGCAGUGGGGAAUAUUGCACAAUGGGGGGAACCUUGAUGCAGCACAGCCGCGUGGGUGAAGAAGUACUCCGGUAUGUAAAGCCCUGUCAGCAGGGAAGAAAAUGCCGGUACCUGACCAAGAAGCCCCGGCUAACUACGUGCCAGCAGCCGCGGUACUACGUAGGGGGCAAGCGUUAUCCGGCUUUACUGGGUGUAAAGGGAGCGUAGACGGCCAGGGAAGUCUGGCGUGAAAGCCCGCGGCCCAACCACGGGACUGCUGUGGAAACGGGGUUGCUGGAGUGCAGGAGAGGUAAGCGGAAUUCGUAGUGUAGCGGUGAAAUGCGUAGAUAUCAGGAGGAACACCGGUGGCGAAGGCGGCUUACUGGACUGUAACGGACGUUGAGGCUCGAAGGCGUGGGUAGCAAACAGGAUUAGAUACCCGAGUAGUC